GCACAGACAUCUGAUGUGAUCUUCUUAAAUUAGUUUGUUAGAGAGAGAAUACACUUCACACAAUGAGUCUCCAUUCUAUCGUCCUGCUUUCUGCUGUUGCGUAUGCAACAUAUGGAAAUGAAAUUAAACCAAUUAAAUCAGUGGUGUUUGCUGAUGAGGGUUCAAGUGUUAAAUUAUCCUGCAGUUAUUCAUCUGCAUAUAACCUUCAGUGGUAUCGUCAGUAUCCAGGAUCAGCUCCUCAGUUCAUUGUUCUCAUCUCAGAUGGAAUCAAAACAAGCUCAGGAGUCUAAUGUAGAUCCAAGGUUCUCUGCCAAAGUCACCAAAGACAAAGAAAACUAUGUGGAUCUGAUCAUCUCCUCUGCUGCUGUAUCAGACUCUGCUCUGUAUUACUGUGCUCUGGAGCCCACAGUGACAGGAAACACACAAUCACUGUACCAAAACCUGACAUAACUAUAAAUAUACCUUCUACAAAUCAGACUGGAGCACAUUACAAUUAAUAGAAUCACAUUCCCAAAUUGUCAGCACAGACAAUGAGGACAAAAGCCUGAUAAAAUACAUUCAAACACGUGUUUUAAAAAAGUUAUAUUAAUAAACUCUUUCUAUUCUCAUUUUCACUCAUAAACAUGCAGGUCUCAUACAGACUGGUCCUGUCAUAUAUUAUGUCACACAUUCAGCUAAAUAUAUUGUGUGAGAAGAUGAUUUUGUGAAGAUCAAAAUGAUCCUCAUUAAAUUACAAGCAACAGUUAUGUUAAACUAUUUUGUGUUAUUUUGUGAAAUUACUCUGUUAGAAAUAUAAAUACAGCACUGGGGGGCAGUGUUGUGAGGAUUCAGACAUGAAGGCUUGAAAUAUCAAGAGAAGAGCAGCAGAGAGAAAACAGAGAGGCACAUUCAUUACACACACGUCAAAACCUUCA